AUACGGAGGGUGCGAGCGUUAAUCGGAAUUACUGGGCGUAAAGCGUACGUAGGUGGUUUGUUAAGUCAGAUGUGAAAGCCCCGGGCUCAACCUGGGAACUGCAUUUGAAACUGGCAAACUAGAGUAUGGUAGAGGGGGGUAGAAUUUCUAGUGUAGCGGUGAAAUGCGUAGAUAUUAGAAGGAAUACCAGUGGCGAAGGCGGCCCCCUGGACCAAUACUGACACUGAGGUACGAAAGCGUGGGUAGCGAACAGGAUUAGAAACCCCAGUAGUCC
rnacentral:rRNA from 1 species